GAUGAACGCUGGCGGCGUGCCUAAUACAUGCAAGUCGAGCGAACAGAUGAGGAGCUUGCUCCUCUGACGUUAGCGGCGGACGGGUGAGUAACACGUGGAUAACCUACCUAUAAGACUGGGAUAACUUCGGGAACCCGGAGCUAAUACCGGAUAAUAUAUUGAACCGCAUGGUUCAAUAGUGAAAGACGGUUUUGCUGUCACUUAUACAUGGAUCCGCGCCGCAUUAGCUAGUUGGUAAGGUAACGGCUUACCAAGGCAACGAUGCGUAGCCGACCUGAGAGGGUGAUCGGCCACACUGGAACUGAGACACGGUCCAGACUCCUACGGGAGGCAGCAGUAGGGAAUCUUCCGCAAUGGGCGAAAGCCUGACGGAGCAACGCCGCGUGAGUGAUGAAGGUCUUCGGAUCGUAAAACUCUUUUAUUAGGGAAGAACAAAUGUGUAAGUAACUAUGCACGUCUUGACGGUACCUAAUCAGAAAGCCACGGCUAACUACGUG
rnacentral:rRNA from 1 species